AAAUAUUAAUAAAAAUACUUUUAACACUAUUUUAAAGGUGAAACUAUAUUUUUGAUCAUUAAAAGAUUCCUGAAAACAAACACUAAAUUUGAUGUUCUAUUUCAGAAAAUUUUUAUAUUUAGUUUUGUAAUAAAAUGGAAUGCAACAAUAAAACUGAAAAGCCAAAUCAGUUGUAUGUUUGUGAAUUAUACUUUUGGCCGCUGCACUAAAAGAUUUCUGAAACAGAACGCUAAAUUUGGUGUUCUAUUUCAAAAAACCUUCAUAUUUAGUGUUUUAAUAUAAGGGGAUGCAACGAUAAAAAGGAAAAUCCCGAUUGACUGUAUGAUUCAGAAUUAUACUUUUUAACUAUAAGAGAUAUUUUUAAAUGAAGCACUAAAUUUGUUGUUCUAUUUCAGAAAACUUUUUUCUUAUUGUUGCAUAAAAGUGGAUGCAACUAUAAAAAUUAAAAUCCAGAUCGCUUAUGUGAUUUAGAAUUGUAUUUUUGUUCGUUAAAAGAUAUUUGAAAUAGAACACUAAAUGUGGUGCUCAACUUUAGACAAACAUUUUACAUAUUUAGUACUGCAUAAACAUAAAAAUGAAGAAGCAGAUCGGUUAGCGAUUUAGACAAAUGAGGUACCUCACAUUGUUAUUCUUCAUUUCUGACCUACAUAAAAUUGUUGAAUAAUUUGCAGUUAAAGUGUGUUCUAAAAAGUCCUUCGAAAAGUCAGAUGCUUUUUUGUUGUUGUUAUUUUCAAUAAAAUAGUUUUGCUUUCGUUCAUUUUUAGUGUUGCAUAAAAAGUAAUGAAGCAUUAAAAAUGAAGAACCAGAUUGGUGGUCAGAUUUAACAUUAUGUUUUGAUCAUUAAAAUAUUUCCGAAAUGCAACACUAAAUUUGAUGUUCUACUUCAGGCAACUUUCACAUUUAGUAUUGCAUGUAAUGACAUACAAUCAUAAAAGUGAAGAAUCAGAUCGGUGGUCUGAUUUUAAUCAUUAAACGAUUUCCUAAAGAGAACACUAAAUUUGAUGUUCUACUUGAGAAAACUUUCAUAUUUAGUGUUGUAUGUAAUGAGAUGCAAUCAUGCAAAUGAAGAGUCAGAUCGUCCAGAUUCCGACAGAUGAGAUACUCUUACAUUGUUAAGUUUCAUUUCUCAUCUUCAUAAAAAAUUUUUUUAACAAUUUGAACUAAAUGAGUUUUUUUAAACGCUUUCAGAACAAGACAAUUUUUUGAUAAUUUGAAUGAAAUGGUUUUUAAAGAUUUUCUGUAAAAUUCCUUGUUAAAUCCAUGUUUAUAAUGAGUAUGCUUCAUACAAGCAUUAUAGCAGUUUACCAAUACAUUAAUAAAAAUUAUCUCUUUGAACCUGAAAUCUCGUAAAAUCUGUGGUCGAAAUAAAUGAGUUCGACUUAAUUUUUUUAAAUUAGCUGUUAUAAACGUGCCAAAAUUCAUUUUUUAUUUUGUAAUAAAACUGCUGAAUUAACUUUAAUAAAAUUUACUUAAUCAAGAAUCAAACGCAAAAGUAAACCACUUUAAGAAAGGAUAUUAAAACAAAAUUUUCCAACAACAUUCCCUAAAUCGAUUUAGUUUUUCUUUAAAUUUUGUGAUAGUUGAUAGCAUUUGUAAUACAACAACUUGUUCAAUGUGUCCAAGCACUGUGUUUUUAAGGUAUGCUCUUAUAUUUAAUACAGGAAUGUUAUUGUAUUUGAAAUAUGAAAUAUUUAGGAUGAAAAUUUUGAUUUUAGUGGCAAAUUUUUUUUUUUUGAGAGUUGAAUAAGGUGCUAAAAAUAAUAAGAAAGAAAUCUUUAUACUAAAUAUUAUAAACAUUGCACAAAAUUCAAUGAAUAUUGAGAUAAAUUUACUGAUGUUAUGAAUUAAUUACGAUUUGUUUUUUUCACAUCACUAUAGGUGGAGCUAUAGACCAGAUCAUUCAAGGAGAUUUGGGAUUCAUUGAAA